CAUUGCUGUCAUUGAAUUUGUCAUAUAAUCUUUUGAGUGGAAGAAUUUCAAAGGGAAUAGGAAAUAUGAAGGCACUAGAAUCUCUUGAUGUCUUAGAAUCAACUUUCUGGAGAAAUUCCCCCUAAUAUGUCAAGCUUGACAUUUUUGAGCAAAUUGAACCUCUCCAACAACAAUUUAUCAGGAAUAAUUCCUUCAGGCACUCAGUUGCAAGGCUUUGAUCCAUCCAGUUUCAGCGGCAAUAGACUUUGCGGGCCUCCACUCACCAAAAAUUGU
rnacentral:misc_RNA from 1 species